rnacentral:snoRNA from 1 species
GGGAUAUGAUGAGCGGUCGGUUCGCGCAAUAAAACAUGCGUGAUGGGUGUCCAACCCACUCCCUGGUUACGACAACAGGGCACUCCCAUCUCUACCUAUCUGAUCCC